rnacentral:rRNA from 1 species
AGUGAACGCUGGCGGUAGGCCUAACACAUGCAAGUCGAACGGCAGCACAGUAAGAGCUUGCUCUUACGGGUGGCGAGUGGCGGACGGGUGAGGAAUACAUCGGAAUCUACUUUUUCGUGGGGGAUAACGUAGGGAAACUUACGCUAAUACCGCAUACGACCUACGUGUGAAAGCAGGGGAUCUUCGGACCUUGCGCGAUUGAAUGAGCCGAUGUCGGAUUAGCUAGUUGGCGGGGUAAAGGCCCACCAAGGCGACGAUCCGUAGCUGGUCUGAGAGGAUGAUCAGCCACACUGGAACUGAGACACGGUCCAGACUCCUACGGGAGGCAGCAGUGGGGAAUAUUGGACAAUGGGCGCAAGCCUGAUCCAGCCAUACCGCGUGGGUGAAGAAGGCCUUCGGGUUGUAAAGCCCUUUUGUCGGGAAAGAAAAGCAGCAGGUUAAUACCCCGCUGUUCUGACGGUACCCAAAGAAUAAGCACCGGCUAACUUCGUG